rnacentral:lncRNA from 1 species
AACUUCUGUAUAGGCGUCUUGCUUCGGUUUUAGUCAGAAAUGAGAGGUUGGCUAUUUUGACCUGCAGCUCCCAGAAAACCAUGACUGCUGCUAAUCCCGAAAGAUUUUUGUUUUCUAUCCAUUCAUGUUCAAACACCGUCUGUUAACAACCUUAAUCUGCAUCUCCGAUUUCUACGUGGAAAAAGUUGAAGUGGUUCACAAGGUAGGAGAAUGUGGUUUUUUUUAAAAAAAAUAACAACCCAGACAAGUCGGCUUCUGCGCUCUCUGUUUGCAGGAGCAGCUGCAGCAGCGUUCUCAAGAUGCCCGAGCACAGGCCCAAGAAAUGGAGCAGCUACGGAGGCGCCUGGCGCAGGCAGAGGCCGAAGUAGCCCAGGGGGCCGUGACGUUGGAGGAACAUCGGAGACAACUAGACGUGUUGAAGGAGGUGGGAGACAUGAAAGACCGUACCCUGGAGACAUUUCUGCGAGAGGGGGAAGAGAAGGACCGGAUUUUGCAGAAGCUGCAGGAGCUCUGGUUGAAGAGAACAAGGCAGGGAGCAGGGGGCAAAGUUGCAGGUUUGACUCUUCUGCCUCCCACCACCUGAACCCUCAGCUGCCUGAUGAGCUCAAGAGCUGCAACGCUGAAGAGAUGCUCAGCGAAACGAGUGGUACUUGA